GACAAAUUGAAUAUUUCCUACGUGAAGUAUUCCAGCAACGAGUCUGAAAAUAUCAGUUACUUCGGAAUCGCCCAUCGCCAUUAUGUUCAAUGCUGAAACGAAUAAAAUAACGAUCGAUAAUUUAAGAUAAGGGUAAACGAGUUGCACUUCCAGCGAUAUAAUACGAUUCUUUUAACGACCCAAAAUAAGACCUACGGUCGACUAUAUCGUGGUAUCUUCAGGACAUAUACGUAUUACGUAUUAAUAAUUAUUUAUAUGCUUGUUCUUUAUUCUUUUCUUCUUCCUUUCUUUUUCUUAAUGCAAAUGUAAUUCAUUGAGACAUUCACUGCAUUCAGGAAUUUUAGAACAAGAUGAGAGAAUUUUCUCGUUCUAUUCCUCCAGGUAUGUCGAUUCUCUUUUCAGGAAACAAUCUCGUUACUUCCUCUCAUUUGGAGUGAAAUUCUCUUGAGCCAACGAUACUAUUGUUCAGCUUGUGGUCGCUUACAGUGCAAUAAGUACUUGUACAGUUUCAUACGAUUACGAAAAAUUAAUAUUAUGAAAACUGAAAGCAGAUGUAGGGGGUCUGCUAGAAAAAUCGCUUCAUUGGGAUUAUGUACAAAUACUUUUUGUACAGUGCUUGUCAUUGUAAUUCAUCGUCGUUAAUCCUUUCGCACUAAUAAUAGUGCUCGCGAAGCUUUUAAAAAUGAAAAGUUCACUUUGAUUAAAAAUGUCCCAUUUAAGAAACCUUGAUCCACUUAGUCAAGGUCGAACGGAUAUUACGAUCAUGAUGUAAACGAUGUAAAUAAUAUCAAUAAAAUAAAUCGAUAUAACUUUUAAGAG